ensembl:lncRNA
AUUUAAAUGAAUCUGUCUUUUCUGUUAUAGGGGGCCUGGUGAGGUGGGAACUUGGUGACGGUCACUUCUGGUCUUCAGCGCCCAGCAGGGCGUAUCACAUACCCAAUGAGUGAAUAACAGGAUCCUCAGGACAGGAGGAGCCCCUGGGCCAGUGGUUCUAUAAAUGUCUCCCCAGGAGCGGCUCCUGGGAACUUGUUAGCAAGGAAAUGCAGAUUCCCUGACUUUGGGUGUAGGGUCUAGCAAUCUGGGUUUGAAGCAACUGGGCACCCAGAAGGGGGCACACAAGAGUUCAAGAACCACUGGCGGAAGCAAAUGCCCUGUUGUUGGAUUAGUGGCCACCGCGGCAAAGGGCCGCCUAUAAAAGGCACUGGGGAUGAGCAAGGCCACGUCUUCAAAAGCAGCAAGGGGGAGCCCUUUUCUAAGGCGGGCGGGCCGGCCGGCCGAGUGUACGGGACACUGGCUCAUCACCCGGACCCCUGCCCCGGCCCGCCGUGCUGUUCGGCACACCGGCCACUGGAGGGCAGUGCGACCACGUGCAUCGCGCCCCUGCCCGGUUGCAGGCGGGAGCAGCCUUCGGAGGCCUUCCGGGAGACUGCAGGGGCGGCUUCAGGCAAGAGACAAGAAGUAGGAAUCGCGGCCCAGGCUGUGGUCUCGGCUCACAGGGCCUCCAGACGUUCUCAGAGGCCGAAGGGGCCCGGCUGGAGCGCACCCCCGGCCCGGGAUCAGAAAGCUAGAGGCAGCGAACAGGCACCAAACGUUGCUCCUGGUGGUGGUCGCUCCCGGUGGUGGUCGUCUUCAGGUGUCUGGGACUAGCCCAGCGUCUGUCCGCGCCCCCUCCCCAGACAAGUGUAUCUCACAGCAUAAACAGCAGCUUCUUCACACGCAGGCCCGUCUCCAAGCCAAGCCAGGGACUCGCAGCUGAAGCGGAAUUGAAGUGGCUUGCUCCUUUGAGCUCCUCUCCACCGUGAGGACUUUAGCCGCCUUUCUGAAUGCCAUUUGAGGAACCAUAGGCCCUCCAGCCUCCACCAGUCCCAUGGUCUUGUAUCUGACCUGGUUCACAGAUUGAUAUUGUCUGUCAUUUGAGUACUUUUCAGCUCUUCGCAUAUCCUUUCUUCUUAAUAGCAUCGGUUCAAGAUCCAGCUUAAAUAUAAGCUCCAUCAGGAAACUAUCCUCCAUUUCCCCCCUCAUUUCCAGCAGAGCCUGUCUUUUCCCUCCCUGCCCACCUGUGGUUCCACUGG